rnacentral:rRNA from 1 species
UACAGAGGUCUCAACCGUUGUUCGGAUUCAUUGGGCGUAAAGGGUGCGUAGGCGGUCGCGCAAGUCGGAUGUGAAAUCUCAGGGCUCAACCCUGAAACUGCAUUCGAUACUGCGUGGCUAGAGUGCUGGAGAGGAGACUGGAAUUUACGGUGUAGCAGUGAAAUGCGUAGAGAUCGUAAGGAAGGCCAGUGGCGAAGGCGAGUUCCUGGACAGUUACUGACGCUGAGGCACGAAGGCCAGGGGAGCAAACGGG